AGGUGGGGAAAGGAGACGCAAAGAGGUUAAGUAAUUGGCAAAAUUAGACUUUUCACUGUGCCCCAGAUGUUUUUAAACAUGAUAAGGGAUGAAUGACUAUCUAUUGAGUGAAUAAAGGAGCUGGCAGCAAUGCAAAGGGCAUUUUCCACUGGCCUUAAAGAAUCAGAGGACAGGUUUGACAUCCAGGCUCGGUCCCUCAGCGGUUUUGCAUUCUUGCUCAGGUCUCUUAAGUGCUCUGAAGCUCCAUGUUCUCGACUGUAAAUAACCAUGAUGCUGACUGCACCAGCUUAAUGUGAGGAUUAAAGGAAGUAUGGACCAUGGAAGACUCUGGAGCACAGAAGCUAUUUAAAUGUUUGUUGAAUCCACAUUGUAGUCUCUGAAAUAAUCUCGUGCUUUGCCCUGUCCUUCUCCUGGUAGUAAGGGGAGCCUGAGCAGUAGCCCUACCCCUCUGCCUGCUCCAUCCACCUCUCACCUGCUGUGGCCACCUUCUUGAAAACAGCAGCCUCUGCAUUCCUGGGCCACUUUCUCUGCUGUGUUUUAAUAACACAGCACUCAUCACUUUCUGAUAUGUGAUAAAUACAAUUAAAUUUCCACAAUGGCAA